rnacentral:lncRNA from 1 species
GCAGUGAUUCAAUUGGCAAGGAAAAAAAACUAUGAAUAAAUGGUGUUGUUGGGGUUUACAAUUUCAUCUUAUCCAUUCUCUUAUAUCUACUCUUCUUAUUUAAUUUGCUUAUUUAUCAUAUUGUCAUGCAAACUUUCUUGGUCUACCCUUAACCCAAUCUCUUGGCGAAAAGAGCCUAUUACUAAUUACCGGCUUGCUAUCUCUAGCCUCCCCUAGUAACUAAUAAUGCAUGAUAAAUGGAAGCAAAAUACAAUUGAUCGUCCUACCCCU